GUGAAAAAUCACAAAGUAUUUCUGCUGAUGCAGACCUCACCAGGGAAAGAUCAACUCAUUGUUUGAAAACCACUUCAGCCAGCAAAGGCACUUCAGUCAGGGAUUGUCAUUCUGAGCUUUCUUAGUGGAGAAGAGGAAAGCACGGGGAGUUUACAGCUCUCCUGGUUUACCUGAAACGCUGGAAGUCUGUCUGUCAACCGGAGGAUCCUUUCUUGUCUUGUCUUGUUUUGGAGCUAGGAUGAGAGCUGAUAGUCUUCACCCUGUUUAAUUUAUGUAGCUUCAGAAAGAAGAGUUGUCAGGGCCAACAUAAUGAAAAAAGAAAAAAAGCAUACGAGCCUGGGACAUGUCUAAACCUUCUCCAGCAGCAUUGUCACCUCGCUCGUCAGGACUCCACGCCACUGACAGCAACAGGAAAAGAAAAAAAAUCUGCUCUUGGCACUGUGGCAGUUCGGAUAACGGCCCGGGGUGCUGGAGAGCAACAGCCCGUAGGCUCAGAGGCCGGCCCACGCUCGCUGUGUGCUGGCCCAGAUGAGAUGGUCCCGGUCACAUGGCCCUGAACCGCCUGCUGAUCAAGUCUGCGUCUCAAGAAUGACUGCAUUAAAGCCGCUCCAGGCCAGAGUAGUCUUUACUUCAAAAGAUUAAAAAUAAAAAGUCACUG